rnacentral:rRNA from 1 species
CAGUCGCCGCGGUAAUACGUAGGUGGCAAGCAUUAUCCGGAAUUAUUGGGCGUAAAGCGCGCGCAGGAGGUUUAAUAAGACUGAUGUGAAAGCCCACGGCUUAACCGUGGAGGGUCAUUGGAAACUGUUAAACUUGAGUGCAGGAGAGAAAAGUGGAAUUCCUAGUGUAGCGGUGAAAUGCGUAGAGAUUAGGAGGAACACCAGUGGCGAAGGCGGCUUUUUGGCCUGUAACUGACACUGAGGCGCGAAAGCGUGGGGAGCAAACAGGAUUAGAUACCCCCGUAGUCCCUGUCUCUUAUAC